ensembl:lncRNA
CUCUCACACACACACACACACACACACACACACACACACACACACACACACACACACACACACACCCCGGCGUUCAGUUUCUAAAGCAGAGGAAGCAGAAGCAGAGAAAUGCAGAGGGAGGGACACCCUCGGCUCGGACUGCGCUCUCAGAGACUCCGCACUCCCUCGGUCUCAUCUGGAGCCACGUGACUGCAGAAUCCCCACGACUCGGGGUCUCUCGAUAGCUGCCUUGCAGGAAUGGACUUUCCGCGGGGGAGGUAUGAUCACUCUGUCGGAGCGCAAGUUGCCAUGCAUUACGUAGACGAAGCUGCCCUCACCGUCGGACGGAUGUACUACCAUCAACGUAAGAGCUUCACGGCUCCUGCAACAACAAUGUGAUGAGAGAGAGAGAGUGUGUGUCCUCCUGUCAGAAAACGUCCGAGAGACACCAAGACGCAUCGGGUCUUUUACGCGACCAUUUUGUGCAGGAGCAAAAAAUAACGAAAAAUGGGGGGAGUUCUGGAAAGAACAAUUCGCCAAACUACAAUCGGUGAUGUUUCUGUGAGCGGCUCAUCUCAUGCAUUGAUCAGCAUGUCAAGAGGCUGAAGACAACUAACUGACGGCGUUUUUGCCUUUGUUUGCUGCAGGAACGGUGUAGCCCCUCGCUGCUUUAACUAAGUGUGUGUGUGUGUGUGUGUGUGUGUGUGUGUGUGUGUGUGUGUGUGUGUGUGUGUGUGUGUGUGUGUGUGUGUGUGUGUGUGUGUGUGUGUGUGUGUGUGUGUGUGUGUGUGUGUGUGUGUGUGUGUGUGUGUGUGGAAAAGCUAUUGCUGAUACGUGAUGUUUUGUAUGAAAAGUCGUCCCUUUCUGCACAAGGCUGCAGGCUGAUCGUGGGGGAAAAUACGAUGCAGCACGAUAGGCAUAAUCUUACAAUUAAAGGAUAUUUCUUGUGACUGUGACUAAACGGAAAUAUCUCUUAAUUGUUGGGUUAGGUCUAACUUUCAGCACCACGGGGGUGGACAGCGCCUCGGCCAGAGCGACACAAACUCGCCUUCGAUUGCUUGUAACACUGUUGUUUGUCUUGCAAAUUAAAGAUUUUGCGAUCAGCCAACAUGAGGC